GUAGAAGUCGAUAUACCCUUUUGCAGAGAAAAAAAAAAACUCUCAAGAUACCAAGCAAAGCUCUCUCAUGUGGCUUGGAUAUUUUGUAGUCUGUUUGUCCUUUCUCCACCCCUGCAGAAACUAGGCCAGGUCCAUUCUCAAUUGCUCAUCCUCUUGUUCUCAUUUCAUGGAGACUUGGUUCAUCAUCCUCAUCUCCAUCUCUAUUUCUGCCUUCAUCAAAGCUCUCAUCAGCAUUUUCUUUCCUUCCAAGAACCCUUCCCUCAAUCUCAACCUCCCUCCAGGCCCCCUUAAAUUUCCUAUCAUCGGCAACACUGUAUGGCUCCGCAAAUCCUUAUCCGAAUUCGAACCCAUCAUCCGUUCCCUCCACUCCAAGUUUGGCCCUGUUGUUACCCUCCACAUCGGCCGUCGCCCCUCCAUCUUUGUCGCCGACCGCUACCUUGCCCACCAUGCCUUGAUCCAGAACGGUGCGCUUUUUGCUGACCGCCCUCCGGCUCUUGCUACUGGUAAAAUCACCAGUAGCAAUCAGCAUAAUAUCAACAUGGCCUUUUACGGCCCCACUUGGCGUCUCCUCCGGCGGAACCUCACUUCAGAAAUCCUUCAUCCUUCGCGGGUGAAGUCCUAUGCUGACGCUCGAAAAUGGGUGCUGCAAAUCCUUCUUGAUCGCUUUGAAUCGCUGUUGAAAUCUGGACAUCCUGUUUGCACUGUGGAUAGUCUUCAAUACGCCAUGUAUUGCCUGCUAGUCCUCAUGUGUUUCGGCGACAAGCUUGAUCAGAAACAAAUUGAAGAAAUCGAGAGAGUUGAGCGUGCCAUGCUUUUGAACGGGGCCAGAUUCAGAUUACUCAAUUUCUGGCCAAGAUUGUCCCAAAUCGUGUUUCGCAAACGGUGGUCACAGCUGUUUCAGCUUAGGAAGAACCAAGAAGAAGUAUUAAUCCCUUUAAUAAGAGCAAGAAAGAAGUUGAAAGAAGAGAGAUUGAGCAAGUCCAAGAAUGAAAAUGAUGACUAUGUCUUAUCGUACGUUGACACACUGUUCGAUCUUCAACUUCCCGAUGAGAAAAGGAAGCUCAGCGAUGAUGAAAUCGUUACUUUGUGCAAUGAAUUUCUUAACGCAGGCACAGACACUACCUCCACUGCGAUGCAAUGGAUUAUGGCGAAUUUGGUUAAGUACCCAAAUAUUCAAGAGAAGCUUUUUAUGGACAUUAAAGGGGUUGUUGGAGAUGC
rnacentral:misc_RNA from 1 species